rnacentral:rRNA from 1 species
GAUGAACGCUGGCGGCGUGCCUAAUACAUGCAAGUCGAGCGAACAGACGAGAAGCUUGCUUCUCUGAUGUUAGCGGCGGACGGGUGAGUAACACGUGGAUAACCUACCUAUAAGACUGGGAUAACUUCGGGAAACCGUAGCUAAUACCGGAUAAUAUUUUGAACCGCAUGGUUCAAAAGUGAAAGACGGUCUUGCUGUCACUUAUAGAUGGAUCCGCGCUGCAUUAGCUAGUUGGUAAGGUAACGGCUUACCAAGGCAACGAUGCAUAGCCGACCUGAGAGGGUGAUCGGCCACACUGGAACUGAGACACGGUCCAGACUCCUACGGGAGGCAGCAGUAGGGAAUCUUCCGCAAUGGGCGAAAGCCUGACGGAGCAACGCCGCGUGAGUGAUGAAGGUCUUCGGAUCGUAAAACUCUGUUAUUAGGGAAGAACAAAUGUGUAAGUAACUGUGCACGUCUUGACGGUACCUAAUCAGAAAGCCACGGCUAACUACGUG